rnacentral:lncRNA from 7 species
UACACGUAGAUGUCAAGCAUGCCAUCGUUAGCUUGGAGCUGGGCCACCUAAUGUGGUUAGCAGUCUGCCUCUUCCUGAAGUCAGAGCUGAAACGUUUGUGGCAGAAGCUGCAUUUUAGACCUCAGAGUUAUGAGAGAGAUUCUUCUGAAAGUGAAAAUCAAACAAGUGAGCAGCCGUGUUUGCCCAAGGCAGUGUCUCUGAGGGAGUAUGACUUUCCCUGUCCCGUUACUCUUAUUCAGAAGUUAAUCCUCAAAUCGAAUGUGUGAACUGCUCUCUUCUUACACGUGUGUGACACAGCUCACAAGUGAAAAUAGAAGGAGUGCAGAGUAAAGCAACAGCUGUCUUGGAAGAAAGAGGAAAGCCAUGGAAGGAGCUGUAGAAAGGCAAAAGGCAGAUGGGCACCAGCUUCCAGAAGGAGCGCACUGAGGUCUACGUUUCCAUCAGCAUUCGGCUUCUGGAUCUCAAGCAAAUGCUGAAAGCAAAGUUCCUUCUGAUGCUGGGGAUGAGAGCAGAUGGAAGCCAAGCUAUAGUUGAUACAGGACCUAUUCCUCAAUGACUGUUUCACUUGCAAACAAGGAGCCUUAGUGCCACUAAGAUUUGGGUACCAUGAUUCACUGAGGGCUGCCCAGGAUAAGCAGUGUCCAUGUCAUGUUUUCCAGGAUAUUCCUUCCCAGAACCACACGGCUCCUGCUCUGCUGUGCAGAAGUGCACCUCAGUCUCCAUACCUAACAAAUUGAAGGCUCUUCUUGUUUCACAGAGCAUCAGUCGACGUCCUGCCCUCGCUCUCUAAAUUUCUCCCAAGCCUUGCAAGCACCAGAAGUACGAGCGCCAGAUCCUCUCAUCUCCUUCCCUCCCUUGACCUCACCUCUGUGUCCCACACCUCUCCAGGCAGCCCAUGCACGCUCCUGAGGAAGAAUGUGGCCAAUAUACUGCCAAGUGCUGCUAAAUGGAAGAAGGCAGAGGAUAACAAAAAAUCAAAAAGACUGGAGGAAGAUUUCUUCCUGAUGCUGUAAUCUCAUGCUGCUGUUUAUCUCCACCUGUGACUUUGCUUAUUCCUUCGUCCCUCUAUAAAUCACUGCAGCUGGUGGUGCAUUCACCCAACCUUUCUGCCAGGAUGGUGUCAAACCUCUUCCCAUCAGACACCUGAACUGGUCAAUUCCUACCGCUAAACACCACUAUUUUGAAGAAGGAAAACUGAAGUGAAAGCAAAUUUCAAAGGUACUCAAGACUUGUGUGAUACGGCGCUGAGCUCUGUGCUCACACAGAGAGCUGUUGGUUUUAGGCAUGCUAAAUGAAACACAUUUUACAUCUGCAGCAGAGUAAGAAAAAGUCUCGUUUCUUUUGCCUGAACAAAAGGCAAAGCAUAUAGCAGCUGCUGUUCUUGUAGUAAAGAUUUCAAAAC